GAUGAACGCUGGCGGCGUGCCUAAUACAUGCAAGUCGAGCGAACAGACGAGGAGCUUGCUCCUCUGACGUUAGCGGCGGACGGGUGAGUAACACGUGGAUAACCUACCUAUAAGACUGGUAUAACUUCGGGAAACCGGAGCUAAUACCGGAUAAUAUAUUGAACCGCAUGGUUCAAUAGUGAAAGACGGUUUUGCUGUCACUUAUAGAUGGAUCCGCGCCGCAUUAGCUAGUUGGUAAGGUAACGGCUUACCAAGGCAACGAUCCGUAGCCGACCUGAGAGAGUGAUAGGCCACACUGGAACUGAGACACGGUCCAGACUCCUACGGGAGGCAGCAGUAGGGAAUCUUCCGCAAUGGGCGAAAGCCUGACGGAGCAACGCCGCGUGAGUGAUGAAGGUCUUCGGAUCGUAAAACUCUGUUAUUAGGGAAGAACAAAUGUGUAAGUAACUAUGCACGUCUUGACGGUACCUAAUCAGAAAGCCACGGCUAACUACGUG
rnacentral:rRNA from 1 species